AUGGUCAGUCCGCGCCGGGCCCCGUACCGCUCUGGAGCCAGGGGCCCCCUAGGGGGUCACGGCCGCCCCGCGCGGCCCCUCGCAGUGCGCGCUGUCCGCUAGCGCUCCUGGCCGGCCAGCCCCCGAGGCCCGCAGCCUCUGCAGCUCCGGGCCUGCUCGGCCCCUCCCAUGAAAAGUGCUCGGGUCUUCGGGGCGCUGGGUGCCACCGGUCCCUCCUCACCUGGGCUCACCCUCAGGGGUCUGACCCUGAGUGCAACAAGCUGCUGGCCUGGAGCGGCGUCCUCGAGUGACAGGAGAAGCGCAGACUCUACUCCGACUCCACUGUAAAGUUGAAGCGCGCCCUGCUCUGCCAAGCCUACGUGAACCUGGAGACCAACCAGUGGCAGCUGAAGCUGAUCAUGCAGCUGAUCCCGCAGCAGCUGAUGGCCACGUUGAGACCCCUGUUCCGCAACUCCCAGCUGGCACAGUUCCACUUCAGCAACAGAGACUGCGGCUUGCUCAACAGGCUCUGCCGCAUCAUGAGCAACGGCUUCGCGGGCUGCACGCAGUUUCCCCACAUCUCCCCCUGCAAGAUGUGCGUGCUCAUGUUCCUGUACUCUUCCAGGACGAAGAUCUUCAUGGGCUUCAUCCCCUAUGACCAGAGCGGCUUCGUCAGCGCCAUCCGGCAGGUCAUCACUACCCACAAGCAGGCAGUGGGACCUGGUGGUGUCAACUCAGGCCCAGUCAACAAGAAGUUCCUGGCGUGGAGCGGCGUCAUGGAGUGGCAGGAACCCAGGCCUGAUCCCAACAGUCGGUCCAAGAGGUGGCUGCGGUCCCACGUCUACGUGAACCAGGGGAGAUCCUGAGGACCGAGCAGUGGCCGAGGAAGCUGUACAUGCAGCUCAUUCCGCAGCAGCUGCUGACCACCCUGGUGCUGCUGUUGCAGAACUAGCGCCUGGUGCACUUCCACUUCACCAAGGACCUGGAGACGCUGAAGAGCCUGUGCCGGAUCAUGGACAAUGGCUUCGCCGGGUGAGUGCACUUUUCCUACAAAGCGUCGUGCGAGAUCCGUGUGCUCAUGCUCCUGUACUCCUCUGAGAAGAAAAUCUUCAUCGGCCUCAUCCCCCAGGGCAACUUCCUCAAUGGCAUGCUGCAAGUCAUUGCCAACCAGCGCAGGUCCUGCAGUGGAACCUGGAACAGGAGCAGCAGCAGCAAGGAAUGGGGGGUAGUGGCUACCCUGGAUGGGCCCCUUCAGGAGUCACAGACUAGGCCCCCGCAGAGACUGGUGACACGCUUCUGAGCAGGGGCCCCGGGGGACUUCGACUGCCCAGCAACAUGGAGGAUGGCGUCCUGAGGCCUCCAAGGACAGUCUUCACCACUGUACGUUUCCCCAAUAAAGCCUUUUAAAAACC